UUCCGGGUCGGAGCCAUGGCGGUGGCAAAUUCAAGCCCUGUCAAUCCCGUGGUGUUCUUUGAUGUCAGCAUUGGCGGCCAGGAAGUUGGCCGCAUGAAGAUCGAGCUGUUUGCAGACGUUGUACCCAAGACAGCCGAGAACUUUAGGCAGUUCUGCACUGGAGAAUUCAGAAAAGAUGGGGUGCCAAUAGGAUACAAAGGGAGCACCUUUCACAGGGUUAUAAAGGAUUUCAUGAUUCAAGGUGGAGAUUUCGUUAAUGGAGAUGGUACCGGAGUUGCCAGUAUUUACCGGGGGCCAUUUGCAGAUGAAAAUUUUAAACUUAGACACUCAGCUCCAGGCCUUCUUUCCAUGGCAAACAGUGGUCCCAGUACAAAUGGCUGUCAGUUCUUUAUCACCUGCUCUAAGUGUGAUUGGCUGGAUGGGAAGCAUGUAGUGUUUGGAAAAAUCAUUGAUGGACUUCUUGUGAUGAGAAAGAUUGAGAAUGUUCCCACAGGCCCCAACAAUAAACCGAAACUGCCUGUGGUAAUUUCACAGUGUGGGGAGAUGUAGUCCAGACCAAGACUGAGUCAGCUACAAGCCUAGGCAGUGGUCCCACUUGAGUGCUUCCACAACACUUGCUUUCUCUAAAAUGUGCUGAUCAUUCCUUGCUCUGGAUGAUGUUCUUGAGUCAUAUAAGCUGGACUGGCCUCUGUGUUUGCACUCCUGCCUGCUGUGACCCUGUUUGAUCAAGAGAUCCUGGAAUAUCACAGAUUCAGAACUACAAUUGUCCGUGCUUAAAUUUUCAACUGUAA